CCUACGGGAGGCAGCAGUGAGGAAUAUUGGUCAAUGGGAGAGAUCCUGAACCAGCCAAGCCGCGUGAGGGAAGACGGCCCUAUGGGUUGUAAACCUCUUUUGUCGGAGAACAAAACCCGGGACGUGUCCCGGACUGCGUGUAUCCGAAGAAAAAGCAUCGGCUAACUCCGUGCCAGCAGCCGCGGUAAUACGGAGGAUGCGAGCGUUAUCCGGGUUUAUUGGGUUAAAAGGGUGCGUAGGCGGUCCGUUAAGUCAGAGGUAAAAGUGCGGGGCUCAACCCCGUCGAGCCGUUGAAACUGGCAGACUUGAGUUGGCGAGAAGUACGCGGAAUGCGCGGUGUAGCGGUGAAAUGCAUAGAUAUCGCGCAGAACUCCGAUUGCGAAGGCAGCGUACCGGCGCCAGACUGACGCUGAGGCACGAAAGCGUGGGGAUCGAACAGGAUUAGAUACCCGGGUAGUC
rnacentral:rRNA from 1 species